rnacentral:lncRNA from 1 species
AGAAGAUGAAAACCUAAGCCUUCAACAAGAACUUCAACUCUAUAUGAACUACCUAAACCCUAGCUACUACUUCUCUUAUAUAGUAAAUACAAAGCUUAUUACUUGCAUACAAAGACUUUCAAAUUAGGUCAAAUUCGUGGCUGCUGCUAUUGGUCUUCUAGAGGCAUUAGGUUUUCAGCAAAACCUAAUUAUCUUGGGCUUAAGUUGUAGCUUGAACCAAGACCUUCAAUUGGACAGCUCAUGGGCCUAAAUCAGACUUCUGGAUCUUCUUGUAGAGCCUUUUUAAGAUUGGACUUUAAUAAAGGCCUAAAAUAGAAAUUCUGACUUGUGGGCUUCAAUAGGACCCGGUUUGGGCUGAGAUUUGGACCGCCCUACUUUGACAUAAAGUCAAGUCCAUAGGACCAGCCGUGGGGUGCCCUCAGCAAUUUGGUGGGUGCAAGUAUCAAUUCUCCUCUCUUGUGUAAAUAACAUAUUUUUGUGGGCUUUUCUUGACUUUUAGUGGGCUUUAACACAAUAUUCGUAUUUCGGCUCAUGAAACCUACACAAAUGACAAGAAAGCACUAAUCAAUAGAUAUAACACAAUAAUAUAACCUAAGUGCUAUGCAAACAAGGUGUUAUUCGGGGGAUUAAUAUACACUUUUGAGGACUUAUCAACAAUCAUUCUUAUGUUACAAAAAUAGUGGGGAAAAGGACCUACACAUUCAAAGGGUAAUUACUCCCACAAUGGAGUUGGGUAAGGAUAAUGGGCUAAAGAAAAAGGC